UAUUGUUAUCAAGUAUAUUGUUUAUCAAAAAAAAUAUUAUGUGCAUUUUAAAAACAUGCCGCCUUAUUUCAGUCUACUUAGCAUGGAACUUUAUCCCCUUUUCUACAGUUUGUAAUAAGAAUUAUCCACACGCAUAAAAUGUACAUUUCAAAUCGACUUAAAGGCAUAUCUUGCAGUUUCAAAUGAUAAUCGAUAGCACUGGAUAUAAAGUGCAUUCUACUGAAGAUCAGAAAAAAGUGAUCCUAAUACGCAACCAAUCAGAAAAUACUAACCCGGAUAAUACACUAGAAAAGUGUGUGCCAAUUGAUUUUAUAGUAACUGGUAUCUUUGAGAAUUAUGUUUGUUUUUGGGCACCAAGCUUGGGUUGCACGCAAAUCAUCAAUAACGGUGCGAAAGAUAAACAUGAUCCUCCAGGUGAUAUAUGCGCCAGGUGCUAUGACGAUUGUGACUGUGGUUCGGCAACUUUGGCAACUUUAAGUCAUUGGCAUAUCAUAUGCAAAGUAUUUACUAUAAGUUCCGUUGUAUAUAGUGUUUUAAGAAUAAUUGUGUGAGAUAUGAAAAAAAUCAUUGUUAGUAUACAUAUGUCACUAAUGCUUUUGUAUUUCU